rnacentral:snoRNA from 1 species
AAGUUAGAGGAUGAAGAGCUUGUAACCUUCAUCAUCACCGGCCUCGACGAAGAGUUUGAAUCUGUCAUCUCUGCCGUGACGUCUUGGGUGGAGCCAAUUUCAGUCAAUGAGCUAUACGCUCAGCUUGUUGCCUUUGAGC